ACAAAAUCAUGUAUGGUAAUAAAAAAACACUUCGUUAAUUAAGUUGCAGAAAUUUGUCGGGGCAUUUGUCUACCUAAACGGCAUAACAAGAAACUCAUAUGAACCAUACGUCGUGCUAACCAGGGGACGGACUAAGAAUGGUUCCUUCAGGGGCCUCCCCCCCGCAUCAAACAUCAUACUCAGAACUGGCAUGAACAAGGAAAAUCCAACUGUUUAAUUAAAAAAAACAUUGUUAUGGUCCCAACGGAUGUUCAUGUAAUGUGGUUUCUUCCCAGUGCUCUAAAUGUCAAAGUGAAAAAAUUCAACCAAGCGUAGGUAAAUAGCGGGAGUAACUACGACUCUGUUAAGGUAGACAAAUGCUUCGUCAUCUAAUUAGUAACGUACAUGAAUGGAUUGAUGAUAUUCCCACUAUCCCUAUCUACUCUCAAGUGAAACCACAACCAAGAGAACAGGCUUGGCAGAAUUAAUGGAGAAAAAAGACCCUGUUGAGCUUGACUCUAGUUCGACUUUGUGAAAUGACUUGAGAGGUGUAGUAUAAGUGGGAGCCGAAAGGAAAAAGUGAAAUACAACUACUUUUAACGUUAUUUUACUUAUUUCAUUAAUUGAAAGAGGGGCACUGCCCUUAUUUUUGGACCCAAGGUUCACACUGUGGGCUGAUCUGAGCGAAAGACAUUUUCAGGUAUGGAAUUUGGAUGGGGUGGCACAUCUGUUAAAUGAUAACAUAGGUGUCAUAUGAUGAUUUCAACGAGAACAAAAAUCUCGCGUGAAACAGAAGGGUAGAAACUUAUUUGAUUCUAAUUUCUAGUAUGAAUAUUAAUCAUGAAAGCGUGGCCUAAGAAUCCUUUAGACCUUUGGAAUUUGAAGCUAGAGGUGUUAGAAAAGUUACCACAUGGAUAACUGGCUUAUGACAACCAAACGUUCAUAGCGACAUUGCUUUUUGAUCCUUUGAUGUCGGUUUUUACUAUCAUUAUGAAGCAGAAUUAACAAAGUGUUAGCUUGUUCACCCACCAAUAGGGAAUAUAAGCUGGGUUUAGACCAUUGUGAGACAGGUGAGUUUUACCUUACUGAUGAUAGUGUCUCAAUAGUAAUUCAACCUAGUAUGAGAGGAACCAUUGAUUCGUACAAUUCGUCAUUGCUCUUGGUUUAAAAGCCAGUGGCGCAAAACUAUCAUGUGCUGGAUUAUGACUAAAUGCCUCUAAGUUAGUAUCCAGGUUAGAAGUGAUGCAUGCAUUCGUCGUCCACUUGCGGACCCAUAGUAGGGGCCUUGACACCCAAGAAAAUGUGUCGUUGGCUAAGCCAUCGCGGUGAAAGGGUUUUGGUAACCGCCUUUAAGUAUAAUUUCCAUCGAGCGGCAGGAAGAAUCCUUUGCAGAUGACUUAAAUAUGCGAUGGGGUAUUGUAAGUGGAAGAGUGGCCUUGCUGCCAUGAUCCACUGAGAUUCACCCCUUUGUCACUCUAGUUC
rnacentral:ncRNA from 1 species